UACAGAGGUCUCAAGCGUUGUUCGGAUUCAUUGGGCGUAAAGGGUGCGUAGGUGGCGCCGUAAGUCGGGUGUGAAAUUUCGGAGCUUAACUCCGAAACUGCAUUUGAUACUGCGGUGCUUGAGGACUGGAGAGGAGACUGGAAUUCACGGUGUAGCAGUGAAAUGCGUAGAUAUCGUGAGGAAGACCAGUGGCGAAGGCGGCUCACUGGCCCGAUACUGACGCUGAGGCACGAAAGCGUGGGGAGCAAACAGG
rnacentral:rRNA from 1 species